rnacentral:rRNA from 1 species
CACGUAGGGCGCAAGCGUUGUCCGGAUUUAUUGGGCGUAAAGAGCUCGUAGGCGGCUUGUCGCGUCGACUGUGAAAUCCCGAGGCUCAACCUCGGGUCUGCAGUCGAUACGAGCAAACUAGAGUGUUGCAGGGGAGACUGGAAUUCCUGGUGUAGCGGUGAAAUGCGCAGAUAUCAGGAGGAACACCGGUGGCGAAAGGCGGGGUCUCUGGGGCAACAACUGACGCUGGAGAACGCGAAAAGCGUGGGGGAGCAAACAGG